UACGUAGGGUGCAAGCGUUAUCCGGAAUUAUUGGGCGUAAAGAGCUCGUAGGCGGCUCGUCGCGUCGACCGUGAAAACCCGCAGCUUAACUGCGGGCUUGCGGUUGAUACGGGCGGGCUAGAGUUCGGUAGGGGAGACUGGAAUUCCUGGUGUGAGCGGUGAAAUGCGCAGAUAUCAGGAGGAACACCGGUGGCGAAGGCGGGUCUCUGGGCCGAUACUGACGCUGAGGAGCGAAAGCGUGGGGAGCGAACAGG
rnacentral:rRNA from 1 species